AGUGAAAGGAUAGUCAAAUUGCGCUUAAACAACCAGAUUAGCCACAAACAUUAUUAUUGAAUAAUGGUUUAUAUGCUUCAUUAUUAUCAUAGCAUUAGUUCUAAUCAUACUCUAUUGAAAGAUCCAACAGAAAAUAAAAAGUUCGUACAACAAAUGUAAAUAAACAUCCCCUCCCGCUUUGGCUUUGGCUGACUCUAAUCGACUUGCCCGCACGACGUCUUUUUUAGAACAGGGACUCACACAUAGGUCACAGUCUAGAGCCAACUUGAGAAAAUUGUUGUCUCAACACUCUUCUCAUCACUUUAUUUGUUGCUGUUCUUGGAAGUGAAGGGAGGGCUACUAUAUGUGAAACCUUGAAUAGAGGAUUCAAUUUCUUCUGCAAAGCUGAGUUGAUAGAAACUUUCAAUGAAUUCAUAUUGUCCUUUGACCCCUUAGAAUCCUUAAAUACAACGGCGAUAACUAACUUAUCAGGGCCACCUCCAGGUGGUGGCACCCCAACAGCUGCUGUCUCGAGGAUACUUUCAUCAGCUGCAUUACAAACUUUCUCAAUCUCCACUGAACUUACCUUUACGCCCCCCAGAUUCAUGGUGUCAUCUGCACGGCCAUGUGCACGGUAAUAACCUCUAGAAGUACGCUCAAAUAUAUCUCCGUGUCUUCUAAGAACCUUUCCAUUCCAAACAGGCAUUCCUUUGUAGUAUACACCAUAGUGGUCAGCAUUCAGCAAUGUGCUUGAUGCCCCAAAUAGAAGGGGACCAAGAGCCAUUUCACCAACUCCGGGAGAAUCAAAUGGUCUAGGGGACCCAUCUUCGCCAAGAAUGAAUAGACUACAACCCAUAGCUGCUGUGCUAAAAGCAGAUAAAGAUUGUGGUUGCAACAACGAACCAGCAAUGAAUCCACCACCAAUUUCUGUCCCGCCACAGAUCUCUAUUACAGGCUUGUAAUGAGCUCUUCCCAUCAACCAAAGGGAUUCAUCCACACCAGAUGCUUCACCAGUGGAGGCAAAGUGACAGAUGGAUGACCAAUCAUAACCAGCAGUGCAAUUUGUGGAUUUCCAUGCCCUUACAAUGCUUGGGACCACGCCAAGCAUAGUAACUUUAGCAUCCUGAACAAACUUAGCGAAGCCAGAACCAAGGGGGGAGCCAUUGUAUAAGGCCAUGGUUGCUCCAUUUAGCAAAGUGGAGUAAAUUAGCAAAGGGCCCAUCAUCCAUCCAAGAUUGGUGGGCCAGGCCACCACAUCAUCUUUGCCAAUGUUCAAGUGGGACCAUCCAUCAGCAGCUGCCCUAAGGGGUGAAGACGCAGUCCAUGGAAUCGCCUUUGGUUCCCCUGUUGUUCCAGAAGAGAAAAGGAUAUUUGUGAAUGCUUCAACAGGUAGUUCCACCCCAAUGUACUCAACCUCCUUAGAUUU
rnacentral:misc_RNA from 1 species